GGGGGUGAGUGGGGAUCCUUUGUUAUAGGAAUAGUUUUGAAGAUUUCUCUUUUGUUCCCCACUUGGAAAGUUCCCCUUGCUCUUUUGGGAUUUGUGUUAAAUAUAAGGUAGGCUGGUAUUUGACGUGCUAGAAUCAUUUCAAAUGUAGGUGCCGCUGUAGAGAAAGCUGUAGGAUCUAGAAGUUAGUGUGCAUAAACUGACUUCUUCCCACUUUGAGUUCUGUGCUAUCUGUGAUAUGGACAGAUGUGUGGGGUGAUCUCAGUGACCGUGAGCCCCUGCCUCCCUCCCUGCUCUUGUCCUUCAGUCCACCCAGCAGGUUGUCUUCGAGGACAGACCGUCUAUGUAGAAAUCCCUUAUUAGUGAGGUUAAUAAUAAUGUAAAUAUGAAUGCCUGAAGGUAUCUAGAUGUGCCUUAACUAAUGUAAAUGGUUUUCAUUCAGAAGUUUCCAUUUUUAUUCCAUCAUAAAAUCUUGCCAUAACAAACUUUUCAAACCAUGGAUGUCGUUACUUUAGUGAAAUUUACUUUGGUGCUUUUUUGUUUUGGAAAAAUUUCUGUUUGUGACAACAGCAUCACUUCAAAAGGAAAUGUACUUGGCACAAUGUUCAACAGUAUAUUUAGUAUAUUUGGCAAAAAGUAUUUAGAGUAAGAAGGAUGAACUACAUUGUUUGUUAGAUUUAUUUACGCUUUUGCUUAAUUUUGCUACAUGCUGUAAUUUUUAUCUUAAACAUUUUUCAGUUGCUACAAGUAAUAUUUCUCUGUUUUACUUCGUGUUCUUAGAUGCAGAUGGAUGCAGAAAAUGGAGUUCUAUUAGAGAAAUUAUUUAAAAGUUUAGUUCCAGCAGAUGGUUGAAGGAAUCUGAAAUUAAUUAGAAAACUUUUAUGCCAUAGUCUUAUUAGACACAUUUCAAAAGCACUGUUCUUGCUUUUUUUCUUAGAUUAGAGACAAUGUUGUCAUCUUAUACUGUUAUCCUGUUCUGUUGAGAAGCUUAUUCUUUUGGUUGUUUGUGAGGAGUUGCUUCUUAAUAUGUUUGUUUUCUUGAAUUAGAGUUUUUAUCUGGAGGAUACAAUUAAAUACUUUGUUUAAUUGCCCAGAAUCUGCCUGGAAGUAGAGUUCAGAGAGGGAGAGGUGACUAGGAAUCAGUGGGCAUCUGGGUGAAGUGGAGCCAGCGCCGGCUCCACCCUCUCCAAUAGCGUGACGGGUCCUCAGAGUGUCCUCUGGAUAAUUAGAGGUUGGGCUCCAUGAUCUCUGACUUCUGGGCAAGGUGUGCCACCUUGGACCCCACAAUUUUAACGGGUGUCAAUUUUCAUAAAAUAUGUUAUAAUUUAUUAGCCACCAUUUUAUAAUUGUUUAGGAAAUUGUGAGCAAUUGGGCACCUGCUGUGUCAAUUAGAGCUGUAUCUUUAUAACUAUCUUGGGAAACAUAUUGAAAUAAUAAUCCCCCACCCCCAGUUCUUUAACCAAAAAUUCUUUUCGGUUGUUCCUUUAUAGGUAUGUGUAGAAAGGUCUUUGCAUAAAAUGAUUCGGUAUACUUUGAAAAUUGAGUAAAGGAGAAAAGAUGUCAAUGCUCACUUGUUAUGCUAAAAGAUUUUUUAAGUCAGAGACCUUAUGAAAAUAUAUUUAAGCUAUGAAAUUUAUCAUAUUUUCAUAUUUAAAUUAUGGAGUUUGUGGAACAGUUUACGUUAACUAGAGAGAGUAAUUAUAUAAUAAGCUUUGGUUAAGAAAUAUUCGAGUUCUGUACUUAUUUGUCAAAUGAGCAUUUUUUUCACUAUUGAUGGAUUUAGUUUCAUGUGAAGAAGAGGAAAACACAAACGAAAGAAAAGAUUUGAAACAGUAAGAAGAAACUCAUUACAGGAAUAAAGAUAUAACCAAUGAUAGGUUUGUGUAAGUGCCAGAAUUAUUGAAGCAGAUGAGGAAUGCUCUACAAAAGCCUAUGGUGGGGACAUGCUUUAAGAAUCAGCUCCGUGUUAUUUGUACUCAGAUCAGGUAUUGGUGUGGAAACAGAAUCCCAUUAAUGCUCUGCUCUGAACCAUGAAUUCCACCUACACCACAGUGAAACCUUCCAGUAGACAGAAGUCAUCAGAUGAGCAGAGACCAAAUUUAAUUCCUUUGCUGGUGUGUCUCAGCAGUUGGUGGUUUUACUAACAAAAGAAACUGAGGGACUGGCUGCAGAAAGAGAAGACUCAGUGACAGGUGUUUAUAAAUAGUCACCAUCUCCCAUGUCAUGAAGAGUUGACAGCAUAUUAACUGUGGUGUUACACUUAAGAGAAUCAAACAAGAGCGAAGUGUUAGGAUCUUUGACAAGCAUUUUUAUCCCUUUUUAUAGAAAGGAUGUUUACUUGUUGCCUAAGUAAGAUAUUGGCUCUUUAGUUGCCUAAGGAGAUAGAUGGCAGACUGAGUCUAUUCACUACUUCAUUGGAGAGCCUCUUGUGUCCUUUGCGUUUUAAGUAUUUCAGGAAAAUGGGUAAGAGUCUUACAAAGAUGUGUAUUUUACUUCCCACAUGGAGUCUGACUCUCCCGUGGCCGCGGAGCCUUCCCUGUGCUCUGUAUUCUACCGCAGUGUGAAUUACAGAAUGCUGUGCAUGUCUGUCAGCACCAAUACCAUGUGUAUGUGGUAGGAGUUGUAACCAGUUUCUGGAUCUGUAUGGUACUAUGAAACACUCAUAAUUCUGUAACUGUAUGGCAGUGUUAUGCCAAAAAUGUAUAAAGAGCAAUAGUUACUGUUGCUUACUGCUGUAUUUUAAAAUUGUUUCUAAAAUAAUAUAUUUAGAGUUCCUUUAGAGUAAUUAUUUUUAAUAACUAUUGGCAAACAUACAUCCUGUAAGACGAAUGAAAGCCACUUCAUCUUCGUUAACAUUUUAGCAUUGUGUUAGUAUACAUUAUGUUGAUUUUGCAUGAUUAAAAUAUUUUUAAAGAGC
rnacentral:lncRNA from 1 species